AAUGCCUUCAGUUCACGGCGAAGUUGAAAGCGGCAACAGCUUCAAAUUUGAGAUCUGGCCUCUUUGGGGUCUGAGUUGUAAUUUGUAGAGGAGGUUUCGGGCACCGCUCCGGUUUAAAUUUCUUGGAACAGAAUGUCAAAGAGGGUGAGAACCCCGUCUUGGACCGGCAGUAGGGCCCAUGUGAAACUCCUUCGAACGAGUCGAGUUGUUUGGGAAUGGCAGCUCAAAAUGGGUGGGUAAAUUUCAUCUAAAGCUAAAUAUUGGCCAGAGACCGAUAGCGCACAAGUAGAGUGAUCGAAAGAUGAAAAGCACUUUGAAAAGAGAGUUAAACAGUACGUGAAAUUGUUGAAAGGGAAGCGCUUGCAACCAGACUUGCGCGCGGCGGUUCCCCCUUCCUUUUGGUUGGGUUAUUCCGCCGUGUCCAGGCCAAACAUCGGGUUCUGGGGGUCGGUUAAAGGCCCGGGGGAAUGUAUCUACCCUUCGGGGCGUAGACUUAUAGCCCUGGGUGUCAUGCGACCUCCCGGGACCGAGGAACGCGCUUCGGCUCGGAUGUUGGCGUAAUGGUUGUCAGCGACCCGUCUUGAAACACGGACCAAGGAGUCUAACAUCUAUGCGAGUGUUUGGGUGUCAAACCCGGAACGCGGAAUGAAAGUGAACGGAGGUAGGAAGCCUUUGGCUGCACUAUCGACCGAUCCUGAUGUCUUCGGAUGGAUUUGAGUAAGAGCAUAGCUGUUGGGACCCGAAAGAUGGUGAACUAUGCCUGAAUAGGGUGAAGCCAGAGGAAACUCUGGUGGAGGCUCGCAGCGGUUCUGACGUGCAAAUCGAUCGUCAAAUUUGGGGUAUAGGGGCGAAAGACUAAUCGAACCAUUAAGGAACGCUACUAGGUGGUUAAGUGUAACCUCAAAGUGGUUGCAAGUGCCUGAUUCUGGCGCGACACUGUCCAAUUGCGGGGGACGUCCUAAAGCUCUGGCGACCGCCUCCCCUAUGAAAAAUAGGUGCAGGCACCAGGUUAAUAGCCCUCGGGUAUGGUAAACACCUCCAGAGAUGUAAACAAUGGAUAAUCUGCAGCCAAGUCCCUAAGGGUGGGUGACCGCCUAUGGGAUGCAGUUCACAGACUAAAUGGCAGUGGGCUCCGAGUAUCACACUCGGGGCUUAAGAUAUAGUCGGACCCCCGGGGAGACCCGGGCGCAUACGCUAAACUUGGCGCAAACGAAUCCCCCCCUCCUCCAGGAGGGGGUUGCUCCAGGCCUGAACGGUGCGGUCACUCUAUCGAGUGUCGG
rnacentral:rRNA from 1 species